rnacentral:tRNA from 1 species
GGGCCGUUAGCUCAGUGGUAGAGCAGUGGACUUUUAAUCCAUGGGUCGUCGGUUCGAGACCGACACGGCCUA